rnacentral:rRNA from 1 species
UAGCCGUAAACGAUACUCGCUAGGUGUCGGCCACGGUGCGACCGUUGUCGGUGCCGUAGGGAAGCCGUGAAGCGAGCCACCUGGGAAGUACGGCCGCAAAGGCUGAAACUUAAAGGAAUUGGCGGGGGGAGCACCACAACGGGUGGAGCUUGCGGUUUAAUUGGAUUCAACGCCGGAAAUCUUACCGGGACCGACAGCAACAUGAAGGCCAAGCUGAAGACUUUGCCGGAUUAGCUGAGAGGUGGUGCAUGGCGUAGUCGUGU